rnacentral:rRNA from 1 species
UAACAUGCAAGUCGAACGGGAGAUGCUUCGGCACUUAGUGGCGGACGGGUGAGUAANGCGNUGAGAAUCUGCCUUCAGGACGGGGACAACGACUGGNAAACGGUCGCUAACACCCGAUGAGCCGAGAGGUAAAAACUUUAGUGCCUGAAGAAGAGCUCGCGUCGGAUUAGCUAGUUGGUGAGGUAAGAGCUUACCAAGGCGACGAUCCGUAGCUGGUCUGAGAGGAUGAUCAGCCACACUGGGACUGAGACACGGCCCAGACUCCUACGGGAGGCAGCAGUGGGGAAUUUUCCGCAAUGGGCGCAAGCCUGACGGAGCAACGCCGCGUGCGGGAGGAAGGCCCUUGGGUUGUAAACCGCUUUUGUCAGGGAAGAAGCUCUGACGGUACCUGACNAAUCAGCAUCGGCUAACUCCGUGCCAGCAGCCGCGGUAAUACGGAGGAUGCAAGCGUUAUCCGGAAUCAUUGGGCGUAAAGCGUCCGCAGGUGGUUAAACAAGUCUGCAGUCAAAGCGUGGGGCUUAACUCCAUAUCGGCUGUGGAAACUGUUUGACUAGAGUACGGUAGGGGUCGCGGGAAUUCCCAGUGUAGCGGUGAAAUGCGUAGAUAUUGGGAGGAACACCAGCAGCGAAGGCGCGCGACUGGGCCGUAACUGACACUGAGGGACGAAAGCCAGGGGAGCGAAAGGGAUUAGAUACCCCUGUAGUCCUGGCUGUAAACGAUGGAUACUAGGUGUUGCACGUAUCNACCCGUGCAGUGCCGUAGCUAACGCGUUAAGUAUCCCGCCUGGGGAGUACGCACGCAAGUGUGAAACUCAAAGGAAUUGACGGGGGCCCGCACAAGCGGGGGANUAUGUGGGUUUANUUCGAUGCA